rnacentral:rRNA from 1 species
UACGUAGGGUGCAAGCGUUAAUCGGAAUUACUGGGCGUAAAGCGUGCGCAGGCGGUUGUGCAAGACAGAUGUGAAAUCCCCGGGCUUAACCUGGGAACUGCAUUUGUGACUGCACAGCUAGAGUGCGGCAGAGGGGGAUGGAAUUCCGCGUGUAGCAGUGAAAUGCGUAGAUAUGUGGAGGAACACCGAUGGCGAAGGCAGCCCCCUGGGUUAACACUGACGCUCAUGCACGAAAGCGUGGGGAGCAAACAGG